rnacentral:lncRNA from 1 species
AUUUUGUAUACACUUAGCACAUCCAAUAAUCCAAAUAUUGUCAAAUUUUAAACUAUAGAUGUUACACCAAUUGAACGAACUAGCCAAAAUUUCUAACCCUAGUUAUAUUAUAUAAAAUCCAAAUCACCAAUACAAACUCUGACUUUGAAUAAGAAUUUUCCAAACUUCAAAAAUCCUACACCAAAAAUCCUUAUGCCCUUAAUAAGAACUUUAAUCUAAUUCUCAAAUCCUAAUCUCCAAUCUUUGAAUGCCUCCCUAAUUUUCCUUAAAUGAUCGUUUUAGUCACUAGAGGUCUUAUUUUGAUCCUA